GCGGCGUAGGCGCGGGCUGUAAGCUCCGUUUCCGGCUUGGGCUCGGGGACUGGUGAAGGGGCUGUCGGCGCCAUGUCCGGCCGCGAAGGUGGCAAAAAGAAGCCCCUGAAACAGCCCAAGAAGCAGGCCAAGGAGAUGGAUGAGGAGGACAAGGCUUUCAAGCAGAAACAGAAAGAGGAGCAGAAGAAACUCGAGGAGCUGAAAGCCAAGGCCGCGGGGAAGGGGCCCCUGGCCACAGGUGGAAUUAAGAAAUCUGGCAAAAAGUAAGCUGUUCCUCGUGUCUGAGGUGAUGAUGGUGACCCUCUUCCAUUCCUAUUUAAACAUCUGGAUCCCCUGCCAUAACAUCUUUGCCACCUACAGCUAGAAUGAAGUGUUAUCCUGGAGCCUAUUGUACAUUGUAAUAAACUUUUGUAGUAAAACAAAUACAAUGGCUCAUUGUCUCUAGUGUUCAGCAAUUCCUACCUCAGCUCUGAAUGGAAAGAAAACCCAGGCCAGAGCCUGCUGUUUCAUCUUUGUUGUACUUGGAAUUCUGUAUCACUUUGAAUUAAACCAGCCCAUUUAAAAGGCUCUCA